rnacentral:rRNA from 1 species
UACGUAGGGUGCAAGCGUUGUCCGGAAUUAUUGGGCGUAAAGAGCUUGUAGGCGGUUUGUCGCGUCUGCUGUGAAAUUUCGGGGCUCAACCCCGAACUUGCAGUGGGUACGGGCAGACUAGAGUGUGGUAGGGGAGACUGGAAUUCCUGGUGUAGCGGUGAAAUGCGCAGAUAUCAGGAGGGACACCGAUGGCGAAGGCAGGUCUCUGGGCCAUAACUGACGCUGAGAAGCGAAAGCAUGGGGAGCGAACAGG